rnacentral:rRNA from 1 species
GACGAACGCUGGCGGCGUGCUUAACACAUGCAAGUCGAACGGAAAGGCCCUGCUUUUGUGGGGUGCUCGAGUGGCGAACGGGUGAGUAACACGUGAGUAACCUGCCCUUGACUUUGGGAUAACUUCAGGAAACUGGGGCUAAUACCGGAUAGGAGCUCCUGCUGCAUGGUGGGGGUUGGAAAGUUUCGGCGGUUGGGGAUGGACUCGCGGCUUAUCAGCUUGUUGGUGGGGUAGUGGCUUACCAAGGCUUUGACGGGUAGCCGGCCUGAGAGGGUGACCGGCCAAAUUGGGACUGAGAUACGGCCCAGACUCCUACGGGGGGCAGCAGUGGGGAAUAUUGCACAAUGGGCGGAAGCCUGAUGCAGCAACGCCGGGUGGGGGAUGACGGCCUUCGGGUUGUAAACCGCUUUCGCCUGUGACGAAGCGUGAGUGACGGUAAUGGGUAAAGAAGCACCGGCUAACUACGUG